UUCAGAAAGUAAAGAAUUAUCAGAAAGUAUAGACAUUCCAAAAAGUAAAGACAAUAACAAAAUGUACCCUUCUUUUAUUUAUACGAAUAUAUUUAAGAUACCCGUUUUAUCAACAAUCCAUAUGAAUAUUCUUAAAAAAUAUGUACAAUUAAAUAAAAACACAAAAAAUAUAUUUUAUGAUUUAACACAAGGGAGUUUUUAUAACAUCUCUGGAAUGGUUAUCCAUUACACGGAAUUCGAAAUAAAAGGGAUGUCGGAUAACAAUUCUAGUGAAAGUAAUAAAAGCAGAUUAAGUUAUAAAAUUUUUUUAUUAACCUCUAAUUUGCAUUUGUGUUGUAUAAACGUUUCUAUGACAACUUCUGAUUUUUGGCUUUCAAAUUAUAAGAAAAAUUUUGAACGUAAGGAAAAGGAAAUACUUAAGAGAAUGAUUUAUGUACGAAAGAACAAAAACACAAAUAAAGGUCAAAAUUACGAAGUUAAAAAAAAUUGUAAAUAUAAAAAUAACAAUAUGAACAGGACUAAUGAUUAUAAUAACAACAAUACCGUAUUUAAUUAUUUAUAUAAAAGUGAGAUAAAAAAUAAUAAUGAGCGGGACAUUGAUGAGAAAGAAGAGCUACUAAAAAAUAUAGAUAUUUUUAUAUUUUUUAAAAACGCACUGUUUAUAAAUUAUGAUAAAAAACAUGGCAUAUUUAAUUUCCAGUCGUACUACCACCCUGUAAUUUAAAAUAUACAAAUGCAUACGUGUGUGUAUAAAAACAUAUACAUAUAUACAUAUAUACAACCAAUUUUUUUUUAUGCAAAAAUGGCGUAGAAAAGGUGUAAAAAACGAUAGUGCAAACAUUUAUCACUACUACUAUAACUACAUAUAUAUAUUUUUUUUAAUUUUUUCUUUUCAGGAAUUUCGUACUUUAAAACAGUAUUCAAAUGAAUUUUUUCACAUUAAAAACGACAUGGCACAAUUAAUGAGAGAAGAAUAUCUUAUGCUAAAAAAUAAUAAACUUGUAGUAAAAUUAAAAGACA
rnacentral:lncRNA from 1 species